GUGCUUGCUUUGGAAGCACAUAUAUUAAAAUCGAAAUGAUACAGAGAAGAUUAGCAUGGCCUCUGCACAAGGGUAAGUUUUAUUUAAAAGAUGUAAAAUUUUUUA
ensembl:snRNA U6 U6 spliceosomal RNA